CUACGGGGCGCACCAGUGGUGAAUAUUGCACAAUGGGCGCAAGCCUGAUGCAGCCAUGCCGCGUGUAUGAAGAAGGCCUUCGGGUUGUAAAGUACUUUCAGCGGGGAGGAAGGGAGUAAAGUUAAUACCUUUGCUCAUUGACGUUACCCGCAGAAGAAGCACCGGCUAACUCCGUGCCAGCAGCCGCGGUAAUACGGAGGGUGCAAGCGUUAAUCGGAAUUACUGGGCGUAAAGCGCACGCAGGCGGUUUGUUAAGUCAGAUGUGAAAUCCCCGGGCUCAACCUGGGAACUGCAUCCGAUACUGGCAAGCUUGAGUCUCGUAGAGGGGGGUAGAAUUCCAGGUGUAGCGGUGAAAUGCGUAGAGAUCUGGAGGAAUACCGGUGGCGAAGGCGGCCCCCUGGACGAAGACUGACGCUCAGGUGCGAAAGCGUGGGGAGCAAACAGGAUUAGAUACCCCCGUAGUC
rnacentral:rRNA from 1 species